GACAUUAGUAAAAAUAAGUCUCACGGCUAGACAAACUGUCAUAUACAAGCAUGAACUGGUAUCCAGAACAUAAUAUUUAAAUAAUGUUUCUGAAGACUGCACACAGUUUUGUUCAAUUUAUGUAAAGCUCAAACACCUGCAAAACUAAACAGGAUAAACUCUAUAGAUACAAUUAGGUUAAAAAAAUAUGACGAGGCUGGGCUCUGUGGCUCUUGCCUAUAACCCCAACACUUUGGGAGGCUGAGGUGGGUGGACCACUUGAGGCCGGGAAUUGCAGAUCAGUCUAGCCAACACGGCAAAAUCUUGUCUCUACUAAAAAUAUAAAAGCUAGCCAGGCAUGCUGUGACACACCAGUAAUCCCAGCUGAGGCAUGAGAAUUGCUUGAACCCAGGAGGCGGAGUUUGCAGUGAGCUGAGAUCAUACAACUGCACUUCAACUUGGGCGACAGAGCAAGACUCUGUGUCAAAAAAAAAAAAACCCUUAAAAAACAAAGCAAAAAAAGCCCAAACCAAAGCAAACCAAAAACAAAACAAAACAAAAACCCAACUAUGAUGAUAAACAAGUAAAACAGCAACCACACAAAACCUUUGUGGAGAAGAGAGAAAAGGGGAUAAAGGAAGACCACAUAGAGAAUUUCAAAGAAGAGAAGAAUUUCCCAAGGGGAGAAAAGACAAGAAACCAGACUUCCCUUUCAAAGAGUUAGCUUCACACAGACUAGAGUCAUGGAGAAAUGGGAUUGAAAAUGAAACGGUGGGAAUUGGAAUUCCUAAAUUUCAACAUUACUUACCUUUUUUGGGAAGGGCACACUGUGGGGUGCAGAAUGACUGGUGUUCCAAAAUUCUAACCCCACUCGGUAGAGGUGGCUUCUUGCUGGUGGAUUCCGGGUUCUCAGAUCAGAUAAUACCCUGGAAGUCCAACUUCUCUCCCCAGACAGUGUCAACUUUGUAUCCACACAUCAUUUAGGGACUGUUUGAUUAUAUUGAGUUAGUAUGACAUUAAUAAUAAGCUGUUGAAAAGAAUUAAGAAGUAGAAUCAAAAGAUUUCUUUAUUUCUUAUUCUAAAUAUAUGAUUCUAUCCAAAGAUUUGUGUAUCUUACUGAUAUCUAAUUCCAUGUAAACUAGGAAUGGGUGCAUUUCAUUUCAUGAUUCAAGUAAUAUUUUUAGUGAUACUAUCUCAUAUAGAGCACACUAUGGAGCUGGGUGCAGUGGCUCACACCUGUAAUCCCAGUACUUUGGGAGAAUGAGGCAGGUAGAUCACAAGGUCAGAAGAAUGAGACCAGCCUGGCCAAAAUGGUGAAACUCCAUCUCUACUGAAAAAAAUUAGCCAGGCGUGGUCAUGUGUGCCUGUAAUCCCAGCUGCUUGGGAGGCUGAGGCAGGAGACUCACUUGAACCUGGGAGGCAGAGAUUGCAGUGAGUGGAGAUUGUGCCACUGCACUACAAUCUGGGUGACAGAGCUGUCUCGAAAAAAAAAAAAAGCAGCACACUAUGUUUAAUUCAUGCUAAGUUGUAACUGAUCAAUGUCAAAUCCUUUCUUUAUAGCAUCUUUGACAAAAGGGAAGGGAAAGAGCAAGGGAGCAAGGCUGCUCUUUCUGGGAAGACGAGGAAUAGGAAAACAUUGCCUAAGUGUUUUACUGAACAGAACUUCUGCCCCUGCAUAACUAAAAUGUGACAACACCCUUUCAGAUGGUCUCUGCUUCACUACAAACCACCUGGAUACUCUACUCACUAUCCUAAAUGCAUUUAACAUCACAACACAUUAGCAAGUAAUGAUGUUUUAAUGAGAUUUUAUAUAGGAAGAGAAUAGGAAUAUUUCACUAUGUACCCAAGUGAAAACAUAAUAUGCUUCCUCCAGAUUAUGGUGGUUUUUUGUUUCAAGUUCACUAGCCAUCUCAUUUCUCCUUCUUCCUCCCUCAUGUGUAAUCUAAAAUUGUUUUUCUGGUUCUGAAUAAUUCUGCUCUGAUCUCACCUUAUAUUCUCCAAUGAAGUGAUAGACAGGCUCAUCAAUUGUCACUUCAUCUGGGAGCAUCAACGGUCACUUAAGAGUGGCUAUUGGAUCUCUGAUAUCCUACUCUAGAUGGCUUAUCAAAAUUUCUGUUUAACAGAAAUAGCUUCUUCCUGUGUGGGGACUUAAAUUGGCUUAGAGAAAGUGAUUGCUAAGGAAAAAGUUUCAUGUACUUUUCUAUGUAUGUUUGCAUAUGUGUGUGUAUGUGUGUAUAUACACACAAGUGAU
ensembl:lncRNA